rnacentral:rRNA from 1 species
UACGUAGGGCCCAAGCGUUGUUCGGAUUUACUGGGCGUAAAGGGCGCGUAGGCGGCGUGACAAUUCACUUGUGAAAUCUCUGAGCUUAACUCAGAACGGCCAAGUGAAACUGUUGUGCUAGAGUGCAGAAGGGGCAAUCGGAAUUCUUGGUGUAGCGGUGAAAUGCGUAGAUAUCAAGAGGAACACCUGAGGUGAAGACGGGUUGCUGGGCUGACACUGACGCUGAGGCGCGAAAGCCAGGGGAGCAAACAGG